AACGAACGCUGGCGGCAUGCCUAACACAUGCAAGUCGAACGAGACCUUCGGGUCUAGUGGCGCACGGGUGCGUAACGCGUGGGAACCUGCCCUUGGGUUCGGAAUAACUCCCCGAAAGGGGUGCUAAUACCGGAUAAUGUCUUCGGACCAAAGAUUUAUCGCCUUUGGAUGGGCCCGCGUUGGAUUAGCUAGUUGGUAGGGUAAAAGCCUACCAAGGCGACGAUCCAUAGCUGGUCUGAGAGGAUGAUCAGCCACACUGGGACUGAGACACGGCCCAGAAUCCUACGGGAGGCAGCAGUGGGGAAUAUUGGACAAUGGGCGAAAGCCUGAUCCAGCAAUGCCGCGUGAGUGAUGAAGGCCUUAGGGUUGUAAAGCUCUUUUAACCGGGAUGAUAAUGACAGUACCGGGAGAAUAAGCUCCGGCUAACUCCGUG
rnacentral:rRNA from 1 species